rnacentral:rRNA from 1 species
ACAGAAGGGAGCUUGCUCCCGGAUGUUAGCGGCGGACGGGUGAGUAACACGUGGGUAACCUGCCUGUAAGACUGGGAUAACUCCGGGAAACCGGAGCUAAUACCGGAUAGUUCCUUGAACCGCAUGGUUCAAGGAUGAAAGACGGUUUCGGCUGUCACUUACAGAUGGACCCGCGGCGCAUUAGCUAGUUGGUGGGGUAAUGGCUCACCAAGGCGACGAUGCGUAGCCGACCUGAGAGGGUGAUCG